rnacentral:lncRNA from 1 species
UCGGGCUUUUGCUCGGCGGUCUGACACGCGCCACCAUAAAACUGCACAUCUUUACAUCUAGAACACCGACUGUCUGCUACGAGUGAGCAAGGUGCACAAGCAGGACACUAUGACCACACUUCGUCAUAUCUUGAUCAUUGCUGUGCUGGUGGUGUGUCUGCUGGCCCUGAUCAUGGCAGCGCCAGCCAAGAAGUGCCCCAGCUACUGCAAGAAGGAAUGCCUUAACCCAGUUCUUUGCCCACCACAGUGUCAGCACUGCAUGAUAAAUCUACUGAUCUGAAGAGGCAAUGAGGCACUUUGGGCGCUGAUGGGAGCCAAGAGAUAUAGGCACCCUGCAUAGGCAAGAUGGCGCUGCAACUCUUUAGUUUAUCACACAAGUGUCACUGACACCAGCCGCUGUGGCCACUAUGAAAAUGAGAAUUUUAAAAAGCAAUGACACAGGUUCAUGCUUCAUCACUCGUCUGAGUGCUACACGCCGAACUUUGGUGAUCUUGAAGGUCACGUUUGGGGUUAUUUAUUCCGCUGUGUUCAAGAGCGAUCAUGUCUUAUCAUCGCAACACGGUCAGCGUAGCUCAACAUUGGCCGAUCCCAGGCUGCAGCGCUGUUGUCAACUGGAAAGCUUCAGCGAAGGGUGCCUAUACAUAUAGGCUGUUGCACUGCAAAGGAAGACAGUCAAAAGGUUGCUUCUCAAUAAACUCGAAACAAGUUUUACCUCUGAUACUAUUCUAAAUAGUCUUAAAAAACAACUCCGGAACUUGCCUUGUAACCUUGUAAUGCACAUGAGAAUACUUUGUUUUAUGUGGAUCGAGUGUAUUUGUUAUAUAUACUCAUAUUUCUUUGUAUUUCAUGUUUCACAGAUUAGGCAAUUGCACUGCACAUAGGUAAAGUCUAAUUUUAUUGAUGUUAUUGUUGGUGUUUAUUUACCUUUCAGUAAUAUAAAUUAUGAAUGUACAACGUUUUUAUUUUUCUUCUUUUGAUUCCGAAACGCUGAUUUUAUGAGUACAUGCCGUGAGCUGAAGUUUAAAAAAUAAUAAUAUUUUUGUGCACUAAGUACAGAAACCUCAGUCAUGUAUGGCUGUACCUUUAGCUUCUGCGCUUUUCUUCGUGUAUGUGAAGAAAAAUAGAAAGCAUAUGGUCUCUUCAUGGUUUUCUACUACCACUGGGCAGAUUUUGCAUAUUUGUCUGCACGUCACAGCUAUAAUCAAAUAUUUCAUAUAUAUCGACUGCAAGUAAUAAAUAAGUGACAGGCCGUGUC